UACAGACCCCGCUCAGUCGCUAGACGGAAUAAUCGCACGAUACGGUACGUACGACGCGCGGUGGCGGUGGCGGCGGCGGCGGCGGGCGGCAACGCGGCUUGGUGUAGUGUAGUAUGUGUAUGUGGCACCCCUUGCCCCUCUCCAACCCACUGUCGGCUUUUCUAUGCUUAUGGACCUAGCGUGCUGCAGGCGAUGCAUUAGGCGCAACAAAACGGCGGAGUGGGAUAGGGGGUGGCAUAGAAUGAGGAGAGCGGGGGUGGUGGUGAGCGCCGAGUGCUGGAAAUGGGAACAAAAUCAAUAACAUCAAGAUGCAACGAGCCACGCCAACACUGCACUAUGACCACAUCGUGUUAUUAUUUAUACAAUUUUAUAUGCAGUUGAAACUAUUUUUCAUUCCUUUUUAUGUUAAAAUUUGCAUGAGCUAUCUGCCUACCUACAGUGAUGUGUAAUUUAAAUUAUAUUAAAAUAUGUUAAUACUACUUACA